rnacentral:rRNA from 1 species
UCAGCAGCCGCGGUAAUUCCAGCUCCAAUAGCGUAUAUUAAAGUUGUUGCAGUUAAAAAGCUCGUAGUUGAACCUUGGGUCUGGCUGGCCGGUCCGCCUCACCGCGAGUACUGGUCCGGCUGGACCUUUCCUUCUGGGGAACCUCAUGGCCUUCACUGAAAAAUAGGGGGAACCAGGACUUUUACUGUGAAAAAAUUAGAGUGUUCAAAGCAGGCCUUUGCUCGAAUACAUUAGCAUGGAAUAAUAGAAUAGGACGUGCGGUUCUAUUUUGUUGGUUUCUAGGACCGCCGUAAUGAUUAAUAGGGAUAGUCGGGGGCGUCAGUAUUCAGCUGUCAGAGGUGAAAUUCUUGGAUUUGCUGAAGACUAACUACUGCGAAAGCAUUCGCCAAGGAUGUUUUCAUUAAUCAGGGAACGAAAGUUAGGGGAUCGAAGACGAUCAGAUACCGUCGUAGUCUUAACCAUAAACUAUGCCGACUAGGGAUCGGACGGGAU